GAUGAACGCUGGCGGCGUGCCUAACACAUGCAAGUCGAACGAAGCUUGACGGAUGAUUUCUUCGGAAUGAAACCAGAUAUGACUUAGUGGCGGACGGGUUAGUAACACGUGAGCAACCUGCCUUUCAGAGGGGGAUAACGGCUGGAAACGGUCGCUAAUACCGCAUGAUGUGUUCGGAUGGCAUCAUCUGAACAUCAAAUAUUUAUCGCUGAAAGAUGGGCUCGCGUCUGAUUAGAUAGUUGGUGGGGUAACGGCCUACCAAGUCUACGAUCAGUAGCCGGACUGAGAGGUGGAACGGCCACAUUGGGACUGAGAUACGGCCCAGACUACUACGGGAGGCAGCAGUGGGGAAUAUUGCACAAUGGGGGAAACCCUGAUGCAGCAACGCCGCGUGAAGGAUGACGGUUUUCGGAUUGUAAACUUCUUUUCUUAGUGACGAAGACAGUGACGGUAGCUAAGGAAUAAGCAUCGGCUAACUACGUG
rnacentral:rRNA from 1 species